UACGUAGGUGGCAAGCGUUGUCCGGAAUUAUUGGGCGUAAAGCGCGCGCAGGUGGUUUCUUAAGUCUGAUGUGAAAGCCCACGGCUCAACCGUGGAGGGUCAUUGGAAACUGGGGAACUUGAGUGCAGAAGAGGAAAGUGGAAUUCCAAGUGUAGCGGUGAAAUGCGUAGAUAAUCGGUAGGAACACCAGUGGCGAAGGCGGUCUCCUGGAGCAGACUUGAGCGCUGAGGCGCGAAAGCUGGGGGAGCGAACGGG
rnacentral:rRNA from 1 species